CAAAGUCUUCUUUUCUGUAAGCCCGAAAAUUGAGUUCUAAAAUACCAUUUUCCACAUAACUACUAUAUCAAAGCACAAACUAAUGGAUUGAUCAAAAAAGAGAUUGUAUGACUUCGGUAUCCGCAAUACGGUAUCGUGCAUUGAUUUCCAUCUUAGAAUGGUUCCCUUCCGUAUAGGUGGAAAUAGGAAAGGUUAUGUUCUUUUUUCUAAUUCUUAAGACGAAGAAGCUUAAUCGGUUCAAACAAAUAUGACGAUGAUCAUUAUGGAGCCGAUCAUGAUGACGAAUACGAUAAUGCAUAUAAUAAUAAAUAAAAUGAUUUUACUUGUAUCUUAGACUUAUAUGAAUAAAAAAUUAUUUGUUUAA